rnacentral:rRNA from 1 species
AACGAACGCUGGCGGCAGGCUUAACACAUGCAAGUCGAGCGCAUCCUUCGGGGUGAGCGGCGGACGGGUGAGUAACGCGUGGGAACGUGCCCUCUUCUACGGAAUAGCCUCGGGAAACUGAGAGUAAUGCCGUAUACGCCCGCAAGGGGAAAGAUUUAUCGGAGGAGGAUCGGCCCGCGUUGGAUUAGGUAGUUGGUGGGGUAACGGCCUACCAAGCCGACGAUCCAUAGCUGGUUUGAGAGGAUGAUCAGCCACACUGGGACUGAGACACGGCCCAGACCCCCAAGGGAGGGCGGCAGGGGGGAAUCUUGAAAAUUGGGGCAACCCUGAUCCAGCCAUGCCGCGUGAUCGAUGAAGGCCUUAGGGUUGUAAAGAUCUUUCAGCUGGGAAGAUAAUGACGGUACCAGCAGAAGAAGCCCCGGCUAACUCCGUG